GAGGAAGGUGGGGACGACGUCAAGUCAUCAUGGCCCUUACGUCCAGGGCUGCACACGUGCUACAAUGGAUGGUACAGAAGGUCGCUACUCAGCAAUGAGGUGCAAAUCUUUAAAACCAUUCUCAGUUCGGAUCGGAGUCUGCAACUCGACUCCGUGAAGUUGGAAUCGCUAGUAAUCGCGUAUCAGCAAUGACGCGGUGAAUACGUUCCCGGGCCUUGUACACACCGCCCGUCACACCAUGGGAGCGGGUUCUGCCAGAAGUAGUUAGCCUAACCGCAAGGGGGGCGAUUACCACGGCAGGGUUCGUGACUGGGGUGAAGUCGUAACAAGGUAGCCGUAGGGGAACCUGCGGCUGGAUCACCUCCUU
rnacentral:rRNA from 1 species